rnacentral:rRNA from 1 species
GACGAACGCUGGCGGCGUGCUUAACACAUGCAAGUCGAACGGAAAGGCCCUGCUUUUGUGGGGUGCUCGAGUGGCGAACGGGUGAGUAACACGUGAGUAACCUGCCCUUGACUUUGGGAUAACUUCAGGAAACUGGGGCUAAUACCGGAUAGGAGCUCCUGCUGCAUGGUGGGGGUUGGAAAGUUUCGGCGGUUGGGGAUGGACUCGCGGCUUAUCAGCUUGUUGGUGGGGUAGUGGCUUACCAAGGUUUUGACGGGUAACCGGCCUGAGAGGGUGACCGGCCACAUUGGGACUGAGAUACGGCCCAGACUCCUACGGGAGGCAGCAGUGGGGAAUAUUGCACAAUGGGCGGAAGCCUGAUGCAGAAACGCCGCGUGCGGGAUGACGGCCUUCGGGUUGUAAACCGCUUUCGCCUGUGACGAAGCGUGAGUGACGGUAAUGGGUAAAGAAGCACCGGCUAACUACGUG